rnacentral:lncRNA from 1 species
ACACAUGCAACCAGGUACCUUCUGACAACAACGACCCGAGAAAUCGUCCCCCACGCGGCCAGGUACCGUCCGACGAGAACAACCCGAGAAAUCGUCCCACACGCAGCCAUGUACCAUCCAACGAGAACAGCCCGAGAAAUCAUCCCACAUGCGGCCAGGUACCAUCCGACGAGAACAACCCGAGAAAUCGUCCCCCGUGCGGCCAGGUACCAUCCGACGAGAACAACCCAAGAAAUCGUCCCACACACGUGGCCAGGUACCUUCCAACGAGAACAACCUGAGAAAUCGUCCCACACAUGCGGCCAGGUACCCUCCGAUGAG